rnacentral:lncRNA from 1 species
GAAUUGGACUUGAUUUGCUGGUAAAAAUCAAAUAUGACGGAGCUGUAUUUGUAAAAGAAACUUGUUUAAUAGUGUUUUGAAAUUACUUUUGUGAUGCAUAAUAUAAGCAGAUUAAUCGGAGACGAUUUAGUCAUUGUUUUUGAGGUCUGAUUCUGGCUGCAGAGAUGUUCAUUCCUCGGAUUUUCACAGUGAGUCAUUUUACUUGACCUAAGAAAUAAAGCGAUUCUGUGAAACCGGCCCGAGUCCAUACUGUCCCCCUGUGGGAAGCGGGCAAGGCAGAGUUCUGGUCAUGAGUCAAAGGGGAGACAAAGAGAGACAGAGAGCAGCACCUGAACCCCAUUAAUCGUCUCCCACAGUGUCCAUUCCUCUUGGUUUGUGUCAGCAGGGGCAGCAGAGUGGAAAGAGAGGACACGGUGAGGAGGAGUUUGAGUCCAAGUUUUGACAAGAUGAGAUUAUUACAGCGAGCAGAGCAGAUAGAGAAAAAUAGAGGAGAGAUUUCACACUAAACGGAGCUCCUAAUGUAUGUAAGCGGCUCAAAGACGUGUCCAUAACUUAGGUUGGGGUUUAUUUCAUUCUUAAGGUAGUUCAUGAGUUAAAUUGUAGCCUGUAGCUAUGAAUGAUCUCUGUGAUAUUGUUGCUCAUUAAAGUCAUUUAUACACAGACCCCCACAUCUGGGAUCUGUCCCGAACAGCCCGAGUCUUGUGCAGUUGACCGCUGAGCAGAUGCACUGCAGCAGUAGGGGGUUAAGCACCUUGCUCAAGGGCACCUUGUAGGUAGUUAACACAGGAAAACCAGAAAACAGUCUGCACCUUUACGCCCUUUUACCCAGUUCUUAACAUCCGCUGAGAUCCUAAUUUUCAAUGUAAAAGGAAAGUAAAUGAAAAACUGACUUAAUAAAGAGCUAUUACACUCACACUCACCCUUCAUUAUGUCUGUCUGGGACUCCUGUGGAGUAGCUUUGCAUGAUUUGAAGCUAAAAAAAUCUUUGUUUAUUUCAUAUCGGUGUCUCUGAAUACGCUUGUUUCAGCACUUUUCAGCCUCCACCUUUACUUUGAAUACUAUUACAGCGAUAUAAAGUUAGGACACAGCUAAUGGAUGUUACUUAUUGUCCUAAAAUGACCCAAUCUAAAAGGAAACCAUUAGGGUUCAAGUCAGCCUCCCUGUUGUUACAGCUUGUGGCUUUGGCCUUCAUAGGGGGACUUUCUAUAUGAACCAGCCCCAGUUUGCAGUAACAGAUGAGAUCCAAAUUCACCUCUGGCCUGCCUUCAACAUCUUCAACCAGGAAACACAGACCCUUUUCUUCCUCCUUCAUGUGUAGGUAGAGUAACCCCUAAUUUCCUACUGCAUUAGGAGCGGCUACGAAAAGGCCGUAUUCGCCGAUCAUAACUAUUCAAGCUAAUGUGUCAAUUUUCAAUCGUCUUCUUUCCAUUCUGCUGCGGAUCGCCGAACUCUGCAGCUGAUCGAAAGAGUUCUAUUUUUUCCGGAUGCUGGAGCAUGCUGGAUAAGUUCAACACAGAUUAACCUUAAAGGAAGUCGGACACAGACACAAAAUAAAACAUCCGAACACUACGUGUUUCAGGCUGAUCGUAUUUCACACCAUGCAAACAGGCAGGGACGAACAAGUGAAGGUUUAUAGACAGCAUUUCAUCCUGAUGACAGCAAGGAUGAGAGGAUGCUGAUGUUAUAAGACUAGAAGUAGAUUUACUCCUCUGGAAGGACACGUGAAUCCACGGGUUCUUGUGAGUUCUCACGAUUCCUGCUGUCUGUAAUCCGCCACAAAAUCCACCUCACAAACAGAUCUGUAGGAAUUGGCGUACAACGAAAAUCAACACUGUUCCGGAUUGGAGCCAUUUCGUAUGCAGUGGAAAGCCCGGGUAACAUGGAACUGUUACUAACUGUUAAGCCUCUUCAAGGUGUCAUGGGUCUUUUUCGAUAGUGCCUCCUUCAUAACCCUGGAGUUGCACAGGCUCUUGCUGCCCAUAUGACCCUUAUUAUAUUUCACAAGUAGGGGGACAUGGUCUUGGUUACAUCAAAAAUCCAGCAGAGUAUAAAUAUUGAAAUAAGGGCAUGAUGAGGUGGACUACUGAGUGAUUAUCCUUUUUGACCUCAUGUUUAGUUUAAAUUGAAAUAUACUCGCUUUUAUAUGCUGAAUAAAUGAGCGAUUUUCUGUCAAUUUUCCGAUAAUGAUAGUAAACACAAAAGGAUAAUACAUGCGCAGUGGUCCAGGUGCAGUGACCAUUAGAUUAUAAUAAUAGGUAAUGGAUUCGGGAUCGAUCCAGAGCGUGUAGGAGGUGGACAAUGGGGAAGAUUUAUGCAGUUCGUUCUGAAUGAAGAAAACAGGUUUUCUGACUAGAACAGACCCCGACCCAGCACCUCCUCCUCCUCCUCCUCCUCCUCCCACUCAUGUUGGAUCAAUAAAAACAAUAAAUGUUGAGGACAUAAAUCGCACCACGGUGCAGGUGCACCCCCCCUGCAGGUCCUAGCCCUCCCCCUCCUCUUCCCUUGACGCACAUACUCCCAAGCGCCUUGCCUUCUGGGUCAGCGCUACAAGGCGGGUCACCAGAAAUUGAUUUGCUCCGUUCCCCUGCCACAUUAAUCACCCAUUCAUCGCCACACACGGUGAAGGCUGACGUCUGGUGGAAAUCAAUUCAUCAACAAAAAAAAAGGACCCUCCGCUGUGGUACACACACUUCUACGUUUGUGUUUGGGUUCUGUUGUUUGGCUGCGUUUUUGAGGCGAUUGUUGGACUAUAAGCUCACUUACACGUUAACCAUCAGGCUGUCAGAGGCGAUCAUGACAGACGGCGCUGAAAAGGCUGUGGCUGAGAGGCGGGUGUUGUUUUGACAGAUGUAGGCAGCGCAGAAGUACUGGAGAUGACAGCACUCAUCAAAACUCCUACAACAGAGAUGCUUCACAGCCAGGGAGGCUCAUGUUGAGAUGAAGUGAUUAAACGUGAAUGAACUUUAAAUUCUGCAAGACGUACCUUCGCCGCACAUGUAUGUUUACGUCGCAGCAUUUUGGCCAACAGUGUCAGACAGAGAAGACUUUGUUACAGCUGCUGAUGUGAUUGUCUUAAUCAAAUGAACCAUGGAGGUAAUGCCAAUUGACAUCUGAUGUUUCCUUAAUUAGAUUAACGAAACAAACUCCCCCAUGGUGCACCUAGACUCAGACUGAGGGUUCAAAUCUUCGCUGAUGAGCUGCUAUUAAUAGACGUAUAUAGAGCGCAACAUUUUUUCACUAUAAACAGAGAUUUCAACUUAAUCAGAGCAAACUGUUGAGAGAGCUCGUUUUCAAGCUGGGUUGAUAGUUUAAAUGUAAAAUAACUUACAUUUAGUAAAAGUCACUCCAAGAACAGCACACCCUGGUGACGGGCUGCAGUAUAGGUUAUAAACCCCGCCUCCGCCAGCCAUCCUUAUGGGGUUGUGGACAAACUUUAGAAAUUUAUUACACAGAAUAUGAAUUUUUCUCCCCCCUGCUUGUGAUGUUGACAUGUAGUUCUCGACUCUCGGCGACUCUCCUGCCGAAUGCGUACAAUGCUACUGCGUAAUGUUGGUUUCAGGAAAUGAAGAAAAAUCGUGGAAUGAGAGCUUUUCAAAUUUGUACACUGGCGGAACCAAGUUGUCCAUAGUAUAUACAGUCUAUGGCUUAGUCUCAAUGCAACACAGAAAUAGCAAAAACCUUAACCAGCAUAUCCGCAUGCUACGAAAAAUCUAUUCAUCCCGUUGGUCCGACUACAAUUUGACUUUGAAAUACAGGCAAAUACAUUAGCCAGGACAAGAAGGUCAAAUUUCUCUGAACAGACAUGCAGACCAGUACAAUUACAUUUUAGCUAGCUUAACUGGACGUAAAGCAGUCUGAGCAUUCAGCACAUGCUCCACAAUUUGGAGUCUAACCCAGAAAUCAAACAGCAUCAAUACAUUGAAGAAAGCCAGGGAGUAAACAAAACCUCAGGAGUAAGGAGGGAUAUUGUUCGCAUAGAAGUUUAAAAAUACAUGUUUUUGCGGGUCAUGAGGAGCUCCCUGCAAUGCGGGAUAUCAGCACCACAUUAAAGAGAUAUUCUGGCAUAAAUUGAAGUUAUAGUCAAACACACCGUAACACCGAGUUAGACACCUCCUUGAGAGAUGAAUGUUGCUGGCUACUUGCUUUGGAGUUUCGCAGCUUAAGGAAGAACAUUCAUGAUUAUUACUUCAUGGAAAUGAUCCAAAAUGAUCGUCAGGGCUCCCCCACAAACAAGCGGCUGCUGGAGGAGUGUGGGUGAGUUGUGUUUAGUCUCUUUGCUAAAGAAUUUAGGCAAAGCUAAAAUGAUGUUUGAUAGCUAGUGCUGUGGCUGGGACCUUAUAUGUCCUGUUGAUGAAGUUAGGUGCUGUUCUGAGUAUUAUUUGUGGCUAUAGAGUGGCGUUUUGGUUGAGGUUUGCACAUGGAGAUGUAGACCGCUGUGUAUUGCUAUCAUGCGGUCGUUACUAAAGUUGGUAUAACUAGAGAAGCAAAUGGUCUGCAACAUUCAUCUCUUGAGGGGGUGUGUAACUUGGUGUUACAUAACUUAAAUUUAUGCCGGAAUACCCCUUUAAGUCUUUUUAAUAAAUAAACUGUCAUUUUAAAUGAACUUCAGAAAGUCUCAACUAGAAACACACUUACUGCUUUAAAUCUGAACUGAACUGGAGUAUAGGUUGGAAUUUGGAGUUACGUUUCAUGUGAGUUCACAGACUUUGUUGGCUUGUUACUGGGAAGUAGAACCACAAUUAAACAUGCCUGAAAAGUUCACUCAGACAAAGAAUAGUUGCAGUGACUCUGAAACACUCCCCAACAUUCCCACAGACAUGUAGCUGUCACCCCAUCAGCUGCCCGUUCAGAUUUGGGGAAACAAUGGGGUUCUUACCAGGGCUGGGUGUUUUUCUACCCUGAGCUGAUUAAAUUAGUGGGCGGAGGAGGGGUGAGGGCGGAGGGUGCCAGCAUGUGGGAGCCUAAACAGGGCGAACACAAAAGAAUUCCUGGUGCCAUUCCACCAAUGCCGAUGUGGUCAUUUUAGCAAACCGGCGAGGCGACCGAAGGCAUCUGUGCUCUGGGAGGAGACAAAAGGGGCAGACUGUCGGCCCAUCUUAACCCCGGACACGCUAGUUAGCCUUAAAGCUCUUUUGAAGGGAGAUGGGAAAAAGGUAAAAAAAGAAAGACAGGAUAAGGAAAACAGAAGAGGAAUUCAUUAGGUUUUUUUAUAGGAGAGGCUGAGACGGGAAGAGCAAAGCCAACAUAUAUCCAAGGCGACACUUCAGUCAAUAGUCUGUUUUAUUACUUGAUGGGACAAAUGAAUGUGUAAUCUAAAAGAGAUCUCCUGCUGUGAUAAACCAACAUACAAUAAUCAUAAUCUCUGCACCCCAGAUCGGCUUUUAAGCCUCUGAUGGGUCACAGUUUUGGUUUUACUGCACAUUUAUUGUCAGUUUUCGGCACUCCUAAGGCUCUGAUUACUAUCUUGUUUAGAUCAUCUACAGGGAGGGUGUUUCACUCAUUUUAUUGAGCGAUAUUGAUAACCAUGGUUUGGAUUUUAAUUAAUGCUAAAAAUUAACAUAAUCAGUCAGUUGUUGGACAGAGAUUCUUUGUGGUUUCAAACAGCUUUGUAGAUCUGAAGUAUAGCGGCUAACAAUCCCUGGAAACAGUCAACGUUGUGUUAGAUGGUGGUAAAAAUAGUCGCUCUGAAAAGCAAGACUUUCUGUUUCAUUUUAUAAAGACUUUCUACCUCAUUAUUACUGCUGCCAUGAAAUUUUUAUCUCAUUAAUAGGAUUCUAAUACCUGUAAUUAAAGUUUUUAUUUCCUAACUCAACUUUAAUUUGAAUUUUUUGUGUGAUUACUUUGACUUUUCUUGCCUUUUUUAUCAACUAUAUGCUUUCAAAAUAAUGAGUAUUUCAUUCAAAUGCAGAGACGUGUUCAUUGUGGUUUUUCCAUGUAGUCCAAUAAAAUCACAGUGGCCAACGGAAGACAAUACAUAGAUGGGACAGCCUUUUCCACACAAGAUGAGCUCUAAACCAAACAAAUGCCAUAUUUUAUUGGGAUAACAAUUUUGGUUUGGCCUCUUAACAAAGACCCGUCAUCACAACACCUUUAUAUUUACAUAUUUAAUCCAUAGUGGUGUGAUAUUAGUGGUAGAAGAGUUGGUAACUAUCUAACCUUGUGUUACAGGGCGUAAAAAUGAGCCAAACAUGCACACAGCAGCUUCAUCCUGCUGGUUUUGAUGGUUGCAGUAACACAACUACUCUUUGACUAGCAACUUCUUUUGACUAAUUGACUUCGCCUGACAUUAAACGUCGUGACAAUCUGUUCGAAAAAACUGAUUUAUUACUUUGCCGAUCAAAUUGGAGGAGAAACUUUGUGAAAGUUUAGAAAUUAGUUGAAACCUCCCCAGUGAGUUGUCAAGAAAAUCACCAAACAGCUGUUAGAAAAAAUGAAGGCAUGUUAGAAAUUCAGCAGCCUGUUCGCGCCAAACGUGAAGUCCGUAAAAACACACUCUGAUGAACAUCCAGACUCACAAAUGCCAGCACACACACGACAGACUGGACACACUUGAGGAGGCGAGGGGGGGGACGGUGCGAGUCCUAACAGCUGUCCUUUUUAAGAGGAACCACAAUGAAGGAGCUCUGCAGGAGGGGAGACAGCACCUGCCUGUCCCCCUCCCUCCCUCCCAAUCCUCCUCCAUCCUCCUCCAUCCUCCAUCCUCACUCACAGGACACGACUGGCGAGGAGAGGGAAGGCGUGCGUGCCUCCAGUCGGGAGCCGUCUAUUCAGCCCAUUCAGCUGCCUCAUCUGCAUACUGUUUGACUUGCUGCUUCUAAUUUGGGCGCCUUCCCCUUUGAAGGCAGAUGUAUGUAAACAAUGUCUCUUUUCAUCUCGACCAGGAUCAGAAGAUGACGGAUUCUGGGUCAUUAACCCCGGGAGGAUUGACGGCUAACAAAGGCAGACCUGCAGUGGGUCUGAAACUCGGCCUAGCAUCGUCCACAACAGUUAAAACUAGCAGAUCAGAAGAUGUAGAGAUAUGCAGGACAGCAAACAGACUGAUUCGACCAAUUACAGGCUCCAGAAGAUGAUGAUUUCUGGGAUUUUAUUAUUAUUCUUUAAUCUAGGUUUAACCCUCGAGGUUAAAACUUGACUUAAAUGAGCUGAGAUGAAGGUUAACUCAAGGACAUCAGCUCAGAUACUAUCAAGAUGCUUAAAAAACCAAUUUUGCUUGAUUUAAAGGAAACUCAGAAUGAAAUACUCAAAACAGGAUGCUCAAAUUAGUCUAAAACUGCUUCAUACUGUCGUCACUUCGAUAACAUGAGUCUUCAGAUUAUCUAUUCUAGGGUGACCAUAUUCUGACUAAGUUAAUUUUGAGAGUUUUCCGGGUUGGAUAGAGUGUUUUUUACGCGAUUCUAACUCAGUAAGUCCAUGCGAUUCAAACUCAAAACUUCCAUACAAAACCUUGGACAUUUAAAGGGUUUCAUAAACUCCCCUAGACAAGGCCAGACAGGCCAGAGAGCCCCCCAUAAAGAGGACAUGUCCGGGUAAAGGAGGACGUAUGGUCACCCUAAUCUGAGUUGAACCACCAUGCCACACCAAUAUGUGAAAUUUAAUUGAAAUCUCCAGUAAUCUUCUCAUGAAGUGUAUCAUCUCUUCUUUUUCAAAGUUUUUCAAAACUGUAGUGGAUAACGGUGCCGAGUCAAAUAUAGAGGUUGAAUCUGAAAAAAGUUAAAUAAUUGGGGUUUUAGCGAUUAAAUGACAGAAUUAAAUUCCCUGUAUUCACAUCACAGUCAUCCAAAAAGCAAGAGUUGAAUUGUGACCCACAACUACAACACCAAAGGGAUGAAAGUAGUAGAGACACAGUGAUAGUCCCCAACAAAAUGAUGCACUCAAGCACUGAGGAAGAGUCGUGAUGCCAAUUUUAAUACAGUAGUUAUGUUUGAACUGUCAAAAAGUCAAGAAAUUUGAAGUUUUUAGUCUGAAUUAGGAAGGACAGCUGAGGAAAAACAGGGAACCAGGGGAGGAGAGAGUCAAAGCAGGAAAUCAAACCACAAGUACUAAAGUCUCUGAACAUGGGGGCGCUUAGACUGCUAGGCCACUGGCGCUCUGGCUAAUUUCUUUCUUUUGAUACUUUGGGUCGCAGUCUGGCUGCCCCAGUCCAAAAAGUCUAAUCCCACCACUGUCCCAGAGUGUCAAGUCUCAGGACGGUGUCACAGAAAGACUGUCCUAAUAGUGUUAGUCUAAAAGAGACAAGGUCGAACAAGAGCGGCAAAACAAGCUGUCAGAAAGAAAGACGCGAUUCAAUUUCUCUCAAGGUAAGACGAUAUAGUGUGAGAACAAGAGAAGCCGUCUUUCUAUGAGGUGCAACAUUUAUGAUUCUGAGCCACAGCAGUGUGCGCAGUGAUUGUUCGGUUUCUAGUGGUGAAGAUUGCUUUCCCUACGGCAAUCCCACAAGAUUAAAGUUCAGAGUUCAACCAUGAUUACACCACCGCAGGCGCACACACUCACACACUCAUAUCCAUCUCACCAUCACUUGUGCCCUGACCCUUCGUAUCCCCCCGUAGCGAUGCGCUGCAUAUUUAUAGGCAACACGUGUACGUGGGUAUUUCUGAUGUAGUAUUCAUGAGUACUCUUCAGCGUGAGAUGAGCACCUCUUAACACAUGUGAGUAUGUGCGAGAGGGAUACAUGCAGAGGAUGAUGGGAAAGAAGGAAAGAAACAUGCAUACUUUGUGUAUUAAAGGGAUAACCUUUAAGGGAUAUAACGACCAUCUGCGACAUCAUAACCACCAAGUUAAUAUUUACAUCAAUACUCAAACCUGUAGGAAGUCUUCAGUCCCGACAGAAAGGUUCUAGAUCUAGAGCAGGUUUGGGUGACACAAAGGAUGUGAAAGGGUUUUAGCAAUGGCCGGGUAAUGACAGCAGGACGACUGGCUCGCCUGUAAAACUGCAGCUCUUGUGAGGCGUCCUCGAACCAAAGGAAUCGCAAGAACUCACAAGAGUGCAAUCGCAAUAACGGUAUCUCAUUAUCUCCUCAUCCAUGGUGUCAUCAGGGUGAAAUGGUGUCUUUGCAUGGUGCAGCGAUCUGCAUUGGAAUGGAAGGAAGCUGGUGGAAAUUGACACUUUGACUUGAAUGAUUAAGAUCAGCUACGAUCGUAGGAUACAGACUUUUUGUAGUUGUUCUGGAUGUGGGGGAAAUUGGGGGUAAAGAAAGUCCCACUAGCAUUAAUCGUCAUGUUUCGGGAUAUUUGAUGAUAUUCAACCAAAUCAAAGCUCCUCUACUACAAAGAUGACUCACUUCUGGAGUAUUUUCAGGACUUUUUAUAGUGCAUGAUAAAAAAUUCAAGGAUUCGUGACCUUAAUCCUGUCUGGAGAUCCAACAAAUCCUUUUAAAGCUCUUACAUAACUUUGAUCACCACAGCCUCUCUCUCUUAUCUGUCCCUUAGCUUUUCAGACACUCACGGAUACACACACCUGCCUCCUCCUUUUCCCCUCUCUGCUCUCAGCGGUCUAACUUUGAGCUGAGCUGGAGCAACACAUCGAUCGGAGCUGCUUAUGAAGAAGUGAAAGUGAGGGAUAUUUGAGGGGAGGGGCUGCACCCACGCUCUGCUAUCAUGAGCCGCUAUAAUUGUCCCAACUUCUCACCGCCGGUUAAUGAGACAGAGAUGGUUUCAUCAUCUUAGUUAAAGUAUGUUAGCAUAAAAAAGUGCUAAUUAUGUUGAAAACAGACAAAAAUUAGCAUUUUAUUGUACACUUCACUGAAAUUUAAGCAAUUAGACUUAGCUUUGGUUUUAGUUUGACUGGACUGAACUGAAUGAUAAUGAGCGGUGUGCGUAUUGAAACUGAAAAUCGCCGCUUUCAACUCGUCCCUCUAUUAUCAAAACAGAAUAGUUUAACCUUCAGCCGGAGUUCUGCUGAAAGCCACUGACCCAGACAGAGAGCAGAGCAAAAGCACAACAUGUCCUUGCAGCUUUAGGUGUGGUUUGCUUUUGUGCGUCAGCGGGGUUAGUUGGGGUCAGGGGGAGGGAGGCGAAAGUGUGUUUGCAGGGGUGUGUGUGUGUGUGUUGGGGUCGAGGGGGUAACACACACAAACACACACAAACACAAACACACAUAUUCACCACCUCCGACUAACAGACAUCUGCAGCCUGAACCCUCUUCAUAGCGAGGUCAUCUGGUGUGUGUGCGUGCGUGCGUGCGCAUGCGAGGGUGUGUAGGCAUGUUGAAAAAGCUCUGUUUGUGUGUGUGUGUGUAUUCCAAGCGUGGCAGCAUGAGCACAGCCUGAGGGGGCGUUUCCUGGAUUUAUGACCAAUUGUGAGAAACACAACAGCUCACUUAACGCCCCGUUACCAAACUCGCACAUUAACGCAAACGUAUGACUCAAAAAAAUAACACAAUCCUACCCAGCAUGCCUGAAAACGUCUGAAUCGCUGUUAUCUCUGAGAUGGAUCAAAUGUUCCACUGAGUCAUCACGGAGCGUGUGCAGACGGGACAGAUUCUGGUUUUUGAUAAUCAAUCUGUUAAUCGUGCACAAAGUCGAGACCGAUGAGGUGUUGAAGCUGAAAAGCAGAUCACCUGGGUCUAGAGAGGAAACCCAAAGGACACCUGGUCCCCUCAUGUGACCAGAAAAAUUCCUCUUUGAUACCUGAUUGACCCUGAAGAAAGAAAUAAAGAAGAGUUUGAGGAGAGUACAUAAAGUUUGUAACAAUGGAAGAAAAAGAGGCUCUGGUUAGGGAUGGGAACUGAUACGAUUUUAUCGAUAUUGAUGCCAUUAUUGAUUCUGCUCAUCGAUUCAAUCCUUUAACAACUCCCUUAUCAAUGUCUUUCUUCGAUUAAAAAAAAAAAGUAGACAAUGUUUUUUAUGUGCUUCUAACUCAGUUAAAGUCAUAUUCUGAACUCCAAAAGACAGUGCAAGCGUGCGUCACGUCAGUGGCGUUGCUUAAAAGUGAGCAGAGGGGCAGAGCUGCAGAGAGCACUGAUGCUCUGCACUGUUUUAUAAUGAACGAAUACACGUUCCAGACAUUUGAAGGAUCUUAUAAACUCCUCCUGGCCCAAAAGAGGACAUGUCAGGGUAAAAGAGGACGUAUGGUCACCCUAUCAUAUGUACCUCAAUGCUGUGCUGAGACGGGGCAGCAGCGGCUGACGACCGGCAAAGCGCAUUGAAUACAUGUGACUCCUUAAAUUUGAUGCCCUGCCCCGUCGACAAAUGUUUAAGCAUGUUGCUGGUGUUUCCACCUUUGCAUGUUAUCACUGCUCCACAUACAUUGCACUGUUGUCGUCUUUCUUGGUAAAAUUAAGCCGCGCUUUAGCUCGUUUCUGCCUACUAUUUGUAUCAUCCGCCAUUUUCUUCUCUGUCUCUGUUCCCGUUCACGUAGACCGGCACUUGCAACGCUGUGUUCCAGCUACUGGGAGAAAGGAAUCAUUCAGAUAAAAUGUAAAUGAUGUUGAUGGAUUGAACCAUUUGGAACUGGUUCUCAACAAGAACCGGUUCUCGAUUCCCAUCCCUAGUGCUGGUGAACAUGAUCUAGAUCCUGCUUCUCAUGAGACUUGCGCUUUUUGUCAAAACGUGACUCAGGGAUUAAUUCAAAGACCUUUUUUGAAGUUUAAUGUGAAAUUCAUGAACCCGAAGAAGGACCAACUG